GGAGAUUUGAGUUGUUCAAGUAUAAUCCAUGUGGGGCUAUUAGAUAUCAGUAUGAGUUUGACUUUUUCAAUAAUCAAAUAAAGGAGAAUGGCAGGUCUUUUUUCGAACAAUUAGAAGAGAGAUUCAAAAAAGUGUAGCACAAUAUGUAUCGCCCUGUGCCUAUUACUACCCGAGGUGGGGAACCUACAGAUAGUGGAGAUCCUGUGGUGACGUUGGACCAAGUUCCACGUUGGAGUAAUGCGGAAUUUAGGUAUGCACAUGAGAAUGAAGAUCCUACUAAUUCAUGCUUUCCGGACCCCUUGGCAUCUGCUUCUGGGUCUGAAUUUAAUGGUAGUGGCAUAGUUUCCAAGUUUCCCAUGGAUCAUGAGAUUAACUCCAAGA
rnacentral:misc_RNA from 1 species